AUUGAACGCUGGCGGAAUGCUUUACACAUGCAAGUCGAGCGGCAGCACGGGGGCAACCCUGGUGGCGAGCGGCGAACGGGUGAGUAAUACAUCGGAACAUGCCCAGUCGUGGGGGAUAACACUUCGAAAGAAGUGCUAAUACCGCAUACGUCCUGAGGGAGAAAGCGGGGGAUCGCAAGACCUCGCGCGAUUGGAGUGGCCGAUGUCAGAUUAGCUAGUUGGUGGGGUAAAGGCCUACCAAGGCAACGAUCUGUAGCUGGUCUGAGAGGAUGAUCAGCCACACUGGGACUGAGACACGGCCCAGACUCCUACGGGAGGCAGCAGUGGGGAAUUUUGGACAAUGGGGGCAACCCUGAUCCAGCCAUUCCGCGUGAGUGAAGAAGGCCUUCGGGUUGUAAAGCUCUUUCGGCAGGAACGAAACGGCGAGCUCUAACAUAGCUUGCUAAUGACGGUACCUGAAGAAGAAGCACCGGCUGACUACGUG
rnacentral:rRNA from 1 species